rnacentral:tRNA from 1 species
GGAGAGGUGGCCGAGUGGCUUAAGGCGCAUGCUUGGAGUGCAUGUGGGGUUUUCCCCUCCAGGGUUCGAAUCCCUGCCUCUCCGCCA